UACGUAGGGUGCGAGCGUUAAUCGGAAUUACUGGGCGUAAAGCGUGCGCAGGCGGUUUUGUAAGCCAGAUGUGAAAUCCCCGGGCUUAACCUGGGAAUGGCAUUUGGGACUGCAAGGCUCGAGUGCGGCAGAGGAGACUGGAAUUCCUGGUGUAGCAGUGAAAUGCGUAGAUAUCAGGAGGAACACCGGUGGCGAAGGCGGGUCUCUGGGCCGAUACUGACGCUGAGGCACGAAAGCGUGGGGAGCAAACAGG
rnacentral:rRNA from 1 species